rnacentral:rRNA from 1 species
GGGUUGUGAGGUUAAGCGACUAAGCGUACACGGUGGAUGCCCUGGCAGUCAGAGGCGAUGAAGGACGUGCUAAUCUGCGAUAAGCGUCGGUAAGGUGAUAUGAACCGUUAUAACCGGCGAUUUCCGAAUGGGGAAACCCAGUGUGUUUCGACACACUAUCAUUAACUGAAUCCAUAGGUUAAUGAGGCGAACCGGGGGAACUGAAACAUCUAAGUACCCCGAGGAAAAGAAAUCAACCGAGAUUCCCCCAGUAGCGGCGAGCGAACGGGGAGGAGCCCAGAGCCUGAAUCAGUGUGUGUGUUAGUGGAAGCGUCUGGAAAGGCG